GCCAGAUAAGCCUUGAGUUGAACCAGCAGAUGGCCAGCUAUACCAGCCCCUCCCGUGAAAAGAGUUUCCUGUAUAAGGCGCUAGGAACGUCCUUAGCAGUUUGUCAGGACCUGGGCCACAUUAAAUCCCAGCUUCAUCAAUUUUUGAAAGCAACAGAUUAUAUGGAAGCCCCUGAGAGACAGGGAGUCAUUUCCAUCCUUGCACUCUCUGCUGAGAGCCACUUGGACCUCACCCUCAACGCACUU